CACACCCUGGGAGCGGCGCUCAAGAUGAGGAUAAAAGAGAUCAGGGCAGAGUACCUCCAUCCACUCACUUCUUGAGGUGUCCAGAGAUCCUGUGCUGCUUCUGACAUUGCUCCUGAACCACUGCCCACCACGAUGUCCUGCCAGCAGAACCAGCAGCAGUGCCAGCCGCCUCCCAAGUGCACCCCCAAGUGCCCUCCCAAGUGUCCUACACCAAAAUGCCCCCCGAAGUGUCCCCCUAAAUGCCCCCCAGUCUCUUCCUGCUGCAGUGUCAGCUCUGGGGGCUGCUGUGGCUCCAGCUCUGGGGGCUGCUGCAGCUCCGGGGGUGGUGGCUGCUGCUUGAGCCACCACAGGCCCCGCAGGUCCCACCGCCACAGACACCAGAGCUCUGGCUGCUGCAGCCAGCCCUCCGGGGGCUCCAGCUGCUGUGGCGGGGGCAGCAGCCAGCAGUCUGGAGGCUGCUGCUGAAGUGGAUCUUGAGUUCAGAAGAGAAUUAGAGACAUGCAAGGGGUAGCCUCAUCUUCCUUAAGGUUUUAAAGCUCAAAGAUUUUAGUGAAAACUUCAAGCUCUGUCCUGAAAAAUGUCUCUGAGGUAAUAUCCAGAAAUCUGUGACCUCAGAGAAACUCAUCUGUGACCUCUGAUCCCAUCUGUCCAACUACCUGGAAACCCUGAGUAGUAGUCCUACGCAAUUCUCUGUGUUAUCUUCUUGCCCAUCCUCUAGCAGACAUGAAAUAAUAAAACAGACUCUGCUCACA